ACCAAAUUAAGCUUAAUUGGUGACUUUGGGGACUGAUUUAGAAGGUGUUCUAACCAAGGGUAAGCAGGAAUUUCAGCUAGAAAUUUAAUGUCGCAAGAAUUCGAUUAUAAUAGCUUAUAAUCGACUAUAUUGAUGCCGUUUCGAUGUUGUUCGCAGCGAGAGUGCGAUCGAGCCUUGGAUCGUUUUAGUUGACUUGGGAGAGCUCUUGGAGACUCUUCUUGAGGUAUUACACUAGCCAAAACAGGGAAUUAAGCUUCCAUUUUGUAUUAAUUGAGAAUUUUGCCGAACUUAUAAUCGAAGUGAUCGCUUCGGUGCGACUUUCGUGUUUUGUUUUCAGCUGGAUUGGGGCCUAGUGGAGCUGAGUUUUGGGACUUCUUACAAUUGGAUUGCGCUUAGUAAUAGGUGGGUUUGACCUAACCAGAGCAAGUGGAGCUCCCCUAUGUUCUAUAUGUACUAUAGAAUUGAUACAGUUGUAUGCUUUUGUGAUUGAUAUAGAACUUGAGACGAGUCACUAUAUUAUAGUGUUGAUAUAUAAUUGAAUUGAAAUCUCUAUGAAGUAGAGAACCCUCAUGCAUAUAAGUCUUUAUAUACAUGUUUAAUUUAGUUGAGUGAUUAAUGGACAAGUUAUCAUGUUUCUAGAAAAUAGAAAACCGUGACAUCCUUAUGACACUUUCUUGACUCUAAAGUAGAGAAUGAUGACAUGCUUAUGAUUAUGUUUAUAGUGCCAUGAUAGUGAAAAGAUUCUAAUGCCAUAUGUAAAUUAGCAUUACUCUUGCAUGUUUAUUAAUCUAGUGAAUACUAGCUGUUAUCAAUACUUGUUAUAUUGAGAUUCCGAUCAAAGGAUCGAGAGCAAGAACAAUGCAAGUUGGAAAGUGAUGAUUGAGACAUAUUGAGCUUUAGAUUUGCUUGCUGCCAUUGUGCUCAUUCGCACACGCUUGUGAGGGUCGCUCCCUACAAGCCGGCACUCCGGAGUUGGCCUACGCGACAGUUGCUCGCCCGUGCGGGAUUGGGUGCCG
rnacentral:lncRNA from 1 species